AAAAUGCGAUACGUAAUGCGAAUUGCAGAAUUCAGUGAAUCAUCAAAUCUUUGAACGCAAAUUGCGCUCUCGGGAUAGGCCUGGGAGCACGCCUCUUUGAGUAUCGACUCCACAACAACUCGAAGGCGUAUUGCUUUGCGGCAUACGCGGACGGAUACUGAGCGCUCUCGUUGACGCGAGACGCUUGAAACUUAGCGAGUGGCACGAUUUCUAAUUCGACGCUGCGAAUCGCCAGUGACGAGGAUAACUUCACAUUCAGUUGUGGACCCUUCCAUCGUGACUAGCAGACGAGCGUGCGUUUGGUUUAGCAAUCAAUGUGUGCACGGCCCUUCCUUGCUCUGAUCGGCUAGGAAAUGCUUUGAACUAGAUCUCAAAUGAAGCGAGAAAACCCGCUGAACUU
rnacentral:misc_RNA from 1 species